GGCUACGGCCAUGCCACUCUGAACAAGCCUGAUCUCGUCUGAUCUUAGAAGCUAAGCAGGGUUGGGCCUGGUUAGUAUUUGGAUGGGAGACCACCUAGGAAGACCAGGUGCUGUAGGCA
rnacentral:rRNA from 1 species